rnacentral:rRNA from 1 species
UGACGCUACGGCAGGCCUAAACAUGCAAGUCGAACGGUAGUCUCGAUCCGUCGAGAUGAGAGUGGCGCACGGGUGAGUAACGCGUACGCAAUCUACCUCUAUCUGGGGGAUACACAUUGGAAACGGUGGAUAAUCCCGCAUACAAUUCUUGAGUGGCAUCAUUUGGGAGUAAAAGCGCGAGUGGAUAGAGAUGAGCGUGCGUCUGAUUAGCUAGUUGGUGAGGUAACGGCUCACCAAGGCGACGAUCAGUAGGGGGCGUGAGAGCGUGAUCCCCCACACGGGUACUGAGACACGGACCCGACUCCUACGGGAGGCAGCAGUAAGGAAUAUUGGUCAAUGGGCGGAAGCCUGAACCAGCCAUGCCGCGUGCGGGAAGAAGGCCCUCUGGGUUGUAAACCGCUUUUGUCAGGGAAGAAUGGAUGGGAUUAUCCUAUUAGGGACGGUCCUGAANAUAACACCGCUAACUCCGUGCCAGCAGCCGCGGUAAUACGGAGGGUGCAAGCGUUAUCCGGAAUCACUGGGUUUAAAGGGUCCGUAGCGGUUUAUAAGUAGGUGUGAAACUGACUUACUGCGACUGCUUGAU